CCUGUCCGCAACAGUGGAAGAGCUUGGGGUUGAACAGUUUGAAUAUCAUGGAGGAUCGCAGACUUUUGUCUUCUGGAAUUAGGCCAUCACAUGCCAAAAAGGCCACCAGGGAAUCCAUUUCUUCUUUACAAGACAGGAAAUAGGAAGUUUUCACAUAAGAGUAUUCAGUGGAAUUCAGGUCCAAUUCUUUAUCCACUAUACCAUCUAAUCACCUUGAAUGGGAGGCAGAGAUAUGGAAAUGCACAGUUCUACUUUUUUUGAAGUGUUGGAGGAUUAUGAAUGAAGAAUGUUGUGUGUGUUGUCAGAUGUAGUUGUUUUUUUUCCAUAUGGUAUUGUUUUAAAGUUUUUCUUUUUAGUGAGUAUUCAGUAGGUGGGGCAAUACAUCCAGAAAAUAGAACAACAGGGGGCAGCUGGGUGGCUCAGUGGAUUGAGAACCAGGCCCAGAAAUGAGUCCCUAGGUUCAAAUCUGGCCUCAGACACUUCCCAGCUGUGUGACCCUGGGCAAGUCACUUAACCCCCAUUGCCUAGCCCUUAUCACUCUUCUGCCUUGGAACCAAUACACAGUAUUGAUUCCAAGAAGGAAGGUAGGGAUAUUAAAAAAAUAGAAUAACACAUUAAUUUAAAAAAAAAAACACAAAUGCUACACAAUUUCUCAAAUAAAAAAUAUCCCAGUUUUUUCUACA
rnacentral:lncRNA from 1 species